rnacentral:rRNA from 1 species
UGAGGAAUAUUGGUCAAUGGGCGGGAGCCUGAACCAGCCAAGCCGCGUGAGGGAAGAAGGCCCUAUGGGUCGUAAACCUCUUUUGUCAGGGAACAAGAGCGAGUAUGUAUACUAGUCUGAGUGUACCUGAAGAAAAAGCAUCGGCUAACUCCGUGCCAGCAGCCGCGGUAAUACGGAGGAUGCGAGCGUUAUCCGGAUUUAUUGGGUUUAAAGGGUGCGUAGGCGGCGAUGCAAGUCAGCGGUAAAAGCCCGGGGCUCAACCCCGGCGAGCCGUUGAAACUGCAGUGCUAGAGAAGGCGAGAGGUACGCGGAAUGCGCAGUGUAGCGGUGAAAUGCUUAGAUAUUGCGCAGAACUCCGAUUGCGAAGGCAGCGUACUGGCGCCUGACUGACGCUGAGGCACGAAAAGCGUGGGGAUCGAACAGGAUUAGAUACC